AUGUUCUGGGACAAAUCAAACAAUUCAGCAUCGAUGCCUACCUCGCCCCCUAUAUUGUCUUCCACUGAGGGCGAGUCCAUGGCCGUUGUCGUGGCCCCGGUGUUGAAGAGCAUGCCUGAACUUAGGGAGCUUUGUAUGAGUCUGUUAGUGAAGAAUAUGAAGAUGGACUCGUCGGAGACCUCAUGUGAGGAACAUGACUUAUCUUUGUCAUGUGUGCAUCUGAAGAAUGUGGAUGCGUGUGGUGUGUUGGCACCGGCUUUUGAGAGCCGCUUUGUGACUGAUCGCUCGACAUCUGGCAAGACAGAUGGUUGCCUCGUGAAGGUGAAAUCAAAGAGAAACAAACGCAAGAAGUGUGACGGCAAAGAGAAGGCAUACGUGAUUUCAUGA
rnacentral:rRNA from 1 species